GGCGCGCCGGGAGUGGGCGCGGUUCCGUCAACGCCGCGUGCGCUCCGCGGGUCCGAACUCAGUAGUGGGUCCGCCGCGGGCCUGACCACGCCCUCGGAAGCCCCGCCCGGGACGCGCUGUGGGGGGUUUCCACCGUGAUGGCGGAGAAGGCUGAAGUGCCUCAGGACCACUGCCGAGUCCCCCGCCUUCCGCCGUCCUCUAGCUGCUCGGAGGGACGACCGAGGUGGCGGGAAUGAACUCAAACUUGCUUGCCUUCAAGUUUAGUAAUCUUUUCCUCCUAAGGCCUAAGCUGAUGUUCCAUCCCAUCCAAUGUAUUUUUCAUCUCAGACGUUACAGUUUUUGUUCUCAGAGCUCCUCUCUGGUACUGUGUUCUAUGAACUCUAGUUGACUUGGUCUUCGCAGACUCUCAGAUUUUACUCUUCAACUCAGGAAGUCCACCAGGAUCCGGCUCCAUUGUUUUCUCCUGCAGCACUCUCUAAAAACUUCU